rnacentral:lncRNA from 1 species
GUAGCAGAAAAUCUGGAAUGGCUGAAGAAUAUUGGCUCAGCUGAAGAGAAUGUGUUAUAAGAAUCACCAGGAACUGGACGUCAUCAUAUUUUAAAACCAUAUGUGCACUAAGGGCUGCCUCACUGUAAAACCAAGUCCCAGCAGAAACCAUAUUAAGAUGUAAUUGAGUUUUUUUUUUAAAUAAAAAAUAAA